rnacentral:rRNA from 1 species
AGUGAACGCUGGCGGUAGGCCUAACACAUGCAAGUCGAACGGCAGCACAGUAAGAGCUUGCUCUUACGGGUGGCGAGUGGCGGACGGGUGAGGAAUACAUCGGAAUCUACUUUUUCGUGGGGGAUAACGUAGGGAAACUUACGCUAAUACCGCAUACGACCUACGGGUGAAAGCAGGGGAUCUUCGGACCUUGCGCGAUUGAAUGAGCCGAUGUCGGAUUAGCUAGUUGGCGGGGUAAAGGCCCACCAAGGCGACGAUCCGUAGCUGGUCUGAGAGGAUGAUCAGCCACACUGGAACUGAGACACGGUCCAGAAUCCUACGGGAGGCAGCAGUGGGGAAUAUUGGACAAUGGGCGCAAGCCUGAUCCAGCCAUACCGCGUGGGUGAAGAAGGCCUUCGGGUUGUAAAGCCCUUUUGUUGGGAAAGAAAAGCAGCAGGUUAAUCCCCCGAUGUUCUGACGGUACCCAAAGAAUAAGCACCGGCUAACUUCGUG